GACGCAGCAAAACCAAAAGCUACGAAUAACUUGAAAAAGCUACGCAGGGAGAGACCUUUGGUGCACAAUGAGGGUUUGACUAAGGUUGACCAAUUUACUAUUUGGUCCCGGGUAGUAUUUAUUUUGUUUUACACCCACCCUACGCACAAUUUCUCUCUCCCCGUACCCUACGCACAAGUCUGUAAAAAACAAAAUAAUUCCACCACUGCUUCUUUUAUCUGGUCACAAAUUCUGGUGAAAGCUCGAAUCAGAUGGCUUCAAAGCAAAAAUGUUCGAGUGAUGGCAAUAAGGGUGAUGGAGGAUUGAGACGGGCACCUUCAAGAGAAGGCCAUGGCAAGAAAAUGUCUGAGGUUCGGGACUCACCAUUCCCCAUGAUGAUCCAAGUAGAUGCUUCACGCUCUACGUCCUCUGCUCCACAAAAGCAAACUAAAAGAAAGGAUGUACCAACAGUUGCACCAUCCACAAAGAAGAAAGCUAGAGGCAAUGGCAAAUCUUCUAAACCUGCUUCACACUCACGGGAAGCUCCUCUUCCACAUAUGGCCCCACCUCCUUCAGUAUCUCAAGAGGUAAUUGUAGACCAACCAGUUGUGCAAGAAGUCGAGGACACAAUGAGACUUCUUCCGGCUGAACCACUGGUACCCACCCCCUACCAAAAGAAAGAUCAUUUGCUGAUGAUCAUGGAGUCUACAAAUCGAUAGAUAUGGAAAAGAAUCUCCCUGAGUUUUACCAUGAGUUGGUUAGGAGAAAUUGGAUGAUCCUCACUGGCUCAUGGGCCAGAAAUGAGACGCUUUUGCGUGAAUUCUUUGCUCAAGUUGGUGCACUAAGCAAAGAGGAACAAGACUCAUUGUCUGGGGUGACUAUUAGAGAUACGUGGGUACCAUUGAAUGCGCAUGCAUUCGAUGAUUUGCUUGGGUUGACCGCACAAGAUAACGGUCGAGUGGCGAGUGCAUUACGUAAUAGAGAGGCUAAUAGGACUUGGGCGGUAAACACUGUAAAGAUGGAAAAUUCAAAUCCAACAUGGGCACAUAAAGGUAAAAUUUACAAGACUGGGUUUAAUGCUACAGCCGUGGCUUGGAAUAUCUUUGUGGCCAACAGAUUAAUGCCAUCAAAGAACUAUGCUGAGGCUUCUGAAACGCAAACCAUUCUCAUUGCAGCUAUCAUGUCCAAAUGGCCAGUUGAUGUGGGUGAAAUAGUAAUGGAGCUGAGGGAGAAAUUCUCAAUGAGCACAAGCGCUAUGCCAUUUCCUGGAUUCCUAACUAGUCUCUUCGAGAAGUAUAAAGUACCAGCUCUUCCUUCUGAUCGCAUUUUGCCACGCGCCACUCCAACCAAAAUCUUCCAACACAUAACUUCUGAUCAAUUGUCCAAGAUGCAGAAAAGUGAUCCGGCCACCUCAUCAUCCAGACCAUCACCUAUUGCUCCUUUGCCUAAUGUUCGCAGUGCCUCCACUACAUCUUUUGCUGCUUCUGAUGCCACUACCAAUGUAGCUGCACUUCCUGCCAGUACAGCGCCUCCAACCACUUUUGAGGCACCUUCUUCAUCCACCAGUACACCCGUAGUGCUAAGUGACGAUGUGAAACAAUUGUUAGCAGCUAUGGGCUCAAUGAUUGUUGACACAAAUGAGAGGUUGCGAGCCAUGACUCAUCCAUCCGAUGCCCCUUUUCCACAAGAGUUACAAAGUGUCAAACCUCCCAAGCAGACAAUAAUUAUGGCACCAAUGGAGAACAUGCUUAUGGGUUUUGCAAAGUUGUACAGGGCAAAAUCAUCAAAAGAAAGAGAAGCAGCUGAGGCUAAAACAAAGAGAGGGAAGAGAAGGACAAGAUCAGGCAAGCCAUGCUUGAUACACUUCAGUCUUUGAACAGUAAAGUUUUGUCCAUAGAGAGUAUAGUCCAGGAUAUGGAUAAGAGGCUCAAGAAGUUGGAGAGUUGCAGUGUGGGUCCGUCUGGACUACAAGAUGACUCCCAAAUUUGUGGGGAUGACGCCCGAGAUGCAGCUUUGAGCAAGGAUGACAGAGUGGAGAGUGAGCCGCUUAUUGAUGAGCACACAGUUGCUCCCGCUCACUCUCCCACGAGAGUGGUUAAGACACCACAUGCAGGAGAGCUUUAGCGUCGAGGAGCUUAAGAUUGAGGGAGUAAUGAAGCUUUGAGUACGCUUAAAGAAACGAAAGAAAUAAAAAAUAUCAAGAAAAGACCAAGUCCAAGUGAAAAAUGGAAAAGUUGAAGUUUGAGCUGAAGACCCUGCGUAGGCUACGUAGAGGAAAAACCUGAGAAGUAAAGCUCUUAGGACAUUCUGUUUUUGCCUACACCAACUUGCGUAGGCUACACAUAUAUCCUACGCACAAGGAAAAAGCUGUAGUGUUUAAACAUACGCAAUUAGCUACGCAAUUAGCUACGCAAUUGACCGAAUGGCAAUUUUAUCCAGUCGUGGGACUUGGUAUAAAUAGCUAUUUUAAGUCAUUCUAGGGUAUCAUUUUGGCAAGAAUAUUUUGUGUAGAAGCUUUUGGGAUUUUGGGUGACUUCGCCAUUU